AUUGAACGCUGGCGGCAGGCCUAACACAUGCAAGUCGAACGGUAACAGGAAACAGCUUGCUGUUUCGCUGACGAGUGGCGGACGGGUGAGUAAUGUCUGGGAAACUGCCUGAUGGAGGGGGAUAACUACUGGAAACGGUAGCUAAUACCGCAUAACGUCGCAAGACCAAAGAGGGGGACCUUCGGGCCUCUUGCCAUCGGAUGUGCCCAGAUGGGAUUAGCUAGUAGGUGGGGUAACGGCUCACCUAGGCGACGAUCCCUAGCUGGUCUGAGAGGAUGACCAGCCACACUGGAACUGAGACACGGGUCCAGACUCCGUACGGGAGCAGCAGGUGGGGAAUAUGCACAAGUGGGCACAAGCCUGAUGCAGCCAUCGCCG
rnacentral:rRNA from 1 species